rnacentral:antisense_RNA from 1 species
UGCAGUUCCUCAUCAGAAGGAAGUACUUCAUCAAUUACGUCCUCUUCAUAUUCAUCAAUUUCUUCCCCAUCAUACUCAUCUUCGCUUCCCACAUCACUUCCUGACACUUCUGCCUCAUCCUCCAGAUCGCUUCAGGAGUUCUUCAUCAUCAUCUUCAUGGUCUUCCAGUGCCAGAUCAUUACCAGAGUCACUGUGUUCAUCCUACAAAAUCAGCAUCAUAUCCAAAUUAAGCAGAAUAAAAUGUGUCCUCAACGAAGAAAGGAUUUAUAAACAUCUGCCCAAACACCUCAUUCUAGGAAAUUGUUUCUGAUAAGAUGCCAAACUUAGAAUUCUCAAGAACUGAGGAGAAAAAAACACUUGAGGGCAGCAAUACAUGGAGCUCAGUUAUGAUUACUUUGUUCCCUUCAUACUCACCUCAUCACUAUCAAAUUCAUUAUCAUUUGAAACAAGCCGAAAGUCUCCAAAUUCCUCCUCCUCGUUUUCCUCUUCCCUAAAAUGUAAAUCAAUGAAUCAAUAAAUAAGUUGUUGAAAGCAAA